GACGAACGCUGGCGGCGUGCCUAAUACAUGCAAGUUGAGCGCUGAAGGUUGGUACUUGUACCGACUGGAUGAGCAGCGAACGGGUGAGUAACGCGUGGGGAAUCUGCCUUUGAGCGGGGGACGACAUUUGGAAACGAAUGCUAAUACCGCAUAAAAACUUUAAACACAAGUUUUAAGUUUGAAAGAUGCAAUUGCAUCACUCAAAGAUGAUCCCGCGUUGUAUUAGCUAGUUGGUGAGGUAAAGGCUCACCAAGGCGAUGAUACAUAGCCGACCUGAGAGGGUGAUCGGCCACAUUGGGACUGAGACACGGCCCAAACUCCUACGGGAGGCAGCAGUAGGGAAUCUUCGGCAAUGGACGAAAGUCUGACCGAGCAACGCCGCGUGAGUGAAGAAGGUUUUCGGAUCGUAAAACUCUGUUGGUAGAGAAGAACGUUGGUGAGAGUGGAAAGCUCAUCAAGUGACGGUAACUACCCAGAAAGGGACGGCUAACUACGUG
rnacentral:rRNA from 1 species